rnacentral:rRNA from 1 species
GGAAUUCUCCGCAAUGGGCGAAAGUCUGACGGAGCGACGCUGCGUGAAGGAUGACGGCCUGCGGGUUGUAAACUUCUUUUCUCGAAGAAGAAGCUCUGACGGUAUUCGAGGAAUAAGCAUCGGCUAACUCCGUGCCAGCAGCCGCGGUAAUACGGAGGAUGCAAGUGUUAUUCGGAAUGAUUGGGCGUAAAGCGUCUGUAGGCUGUAUAGAAAGUCUUUUGUUAAAUGCCUCGGCUCAACCGAGAUCCAGCAAAGGAAACUUCUAUACUUGAGGGAAGUAGAGGUACAGGGAAUUCCCGGUGGAGCGGUGAAAUGCGUAGAUAUCGGGAGGAACACCAAUAUGGCGAAGGCACUGUACUGGGCUUUACCUGACGCUCAGAGACGAAAGCUAAAGGAGUGAUUAGGAUUAGAUACCCCAGUAGUC